GGGGACUAAUAUGGAGGCGCCAAAGGGAUUUCAAAAAAAUAAGAUUUAUAUUGUGGCUCAGAAGCAUCCACUAUGGUCAAACCUGACUCAUUCUUCUUCUUUCUGUGAAAAGAAGCUUACAGGUGACGUCCAGGAGGUCAGCAGCAACGGGAUUUCUGCCAGAACUGAACUCAGCCGCUUCCCUGGGAAUGUUGUCCAGUUGUUAAUUUCACUACCGGAACUGUGUUCCCUCGCGUUCUGGCCUAUUUCCAUGCGUGCCUCCACUGGAAUAAAGGGUCUGACAGUUCUGUGGAUAAUG
rnacentral:lncRNA from 1 species